UUUUCUGACCACAACCAGGUUGGUGGUCAGAAAACAAUGGCAACAAUGACAACAUUCUCUGCAGCAACAGUAAGUUCAGCAGCCACUAUAGGCACAGGCAGAAGCUCUUCCCAGAAAGUAACCAAAGUGAAGUACAUUAGUGGUUUGAAUUCAUUUGAAGGGCUAAAGGCAAACAACCAUGUUGCCUCAUUAGGCCUCCCUAUGUCCACUGAACAAUCUUUUGCAAAGAUUGUUAGCUCAUUGAAAACCCCAUCAUCACAAGCCAAAGGUGGAGCUUUGUCCUCUACCUGCAAUGCUGCUCUUGAGAUUUUCAGGAUUGCUUCCAUUAUUCCUGGCUUGGUUCUUGUUGGAGUUGCUGUUGGAUUCGUCCUCCUCCGAAUUGAAACUGCUGUAGAGGAAUCUGAAUGAAACUUUGGUCUGUUAAAACAUUUUCUUUUUUCCUGCAUCAAGAUUCACUCUCUUUCUAAUUCCUAUAAUCCUCUGUUCUGAGGUAGAAUUG
rnacentral:misc_RNA from 1 species